rnacentral:rRNA from 1 species
UACGUAGGGUGCAAGCGUUAAUCGGAAUUACUGGGCGUAAAGCGUGCGUAGGCGGUCCGCGAAGUCUGAUGUGAAAGCCCCGGGCUCAACCUGGGAACUGCAUUGGAAACUAACGGGCUCGAGUGUGGCAGAGGGGGGUGGGAAUUCCACGUGUAGCAGUGAAAUGCGUAGAGAUGUGGAGGAACACCGAUGGCGAAGGCAGCCCCCUGGGCUAACACUGACGCUCAGGCACGAAAGCGUGGGGAGCAAACAGG